rnacentral:rRNA from 1 species
GAAGAGGGGUGGGGAUUGGGUCAAUUUUGUUGGUUUUGCUUGGCUGAAGUAAUGAUUGAUAGGGACAUUUGGGGGCAUUAGUAUUUAGUUGUCAGAGGUGAAAUUMUAGGAUUUACUAAAGACUGACCAAUGCGAAAGCAUUUGCCAAGGAUGUUUUCAUUAAUCAAGAACGAAAGUAGGGGGAUCGAAGACGAUCAGAUACCGUCGUAGUCUCUACCGUAAACUAUGCCGACCAGGGAUCCGAAGAGUUUGCAUGGAUGACUCCCCGGGCACCUUGUGAGAUUUCAUAAGUGUUUGGGUUUUGGGGGGAGUAUGGUCGCAAGGCUGAAACUAAAGAAUGACGAAGCACACACAWUUC